CCUACGGGAGGCAGCAGUGGGGAAUCUUGCGCAAUGGGCGAAAGCCUGACGCAGCAACGCCGCGUGGGGGAUGAAGGCUCUCGGGUUGUAAACCCCUUUCAGCAGGGACGAUUGUGACGGUACCUGCAGAAGAAGGCCCGGCCAACUACGUGCCAGCAGCCGCGGUAAU
rnacentral:rRNA from 1 species